UACGUAGGGUGCGAGCGUUGUCCGGAAUUAUUGGGCGUAAAGAGCUCGUAGGCGGCUUGUCGCGUCGGAUGUGAAAGCCCGGGGCUUAACCCCGGGUCUGCAUUCGAUACGGGCAGGCUAGAGUUCGGUAGGGGAGAUCGGAAUUCCUGGUGUAGCGGUGAAAUGCGCAGAUAUCAGGAGGAACACCGGUGGCGAAGGCGGAUCUCUGGGACGGUACUGACGCUGAGACGCGAAAGCGUGGGGAGCGAACAGG
rnacentral:rRNA from 1 species